rnacentral:lncRNA from 1 species
CAAACCCUUGGUUAUCACAGUGGACCGACGUCCCUCUGUCCUCCGGCCUUGGAAACCACAGCUCCCUCUGUGUGGACCAGCUUUUCACUCCCGUCCCUCUGGCCAGCCUCUAGGAAUGCUUCGGGCUGGAACUCAGCUGUGCCCCCACAUCUGGACAGGACCCCCACCCACCACCCCUUCCCACUGCCUCCUGAGGCCCCGACACGUCCCCCCUGCCCUGGGCACAGGCCAGCUGUGGUGGCCUAGUGAUGGUGGCUGGAGAGGCACAGGGGGCAGGACGAGAAUGGGCCAGCAAUGGAAUGUGCUGCCUGUCUCCUCCCACACCGGGUGGGGAGCCUUUGUCAUAUCUGGGCUGUGCCCUCAUUCCCCCUUCUGCCUUCCCAGUGCCUGGAAGUGGUCUUUAGUUCUACCUCUGGCAGUUCUGUUCUUUUGUCCUGUCAUGAAGCUCUAACGGUGAGGAAUUCAAGCCCUUGUCACUGGAGGAGAGACCAGGGUGGGAGCACUCCUGAUGCCAGGGGAGACACGCUCAGAGUGCACGCCAGCACACAGGGUUGCUCUUCUGCAGUUGCAGCUUCCCGCGUGGGUCCCUUGCGGAGUUUGGGCUGCCUGUCCUCUUUUUUCACCCGGGGUUUGGGUGAGAAGAACAGCUGUCCUCGUCUUCUCAAGGAGUCUCACAAGUGGCAUCUAACUUGCUUUGAAGAAACACAUCCUCCGUAAAUAGCAAAUUUGGCAGGAAAGCUGGCUAAGGUCCCAUGAUUUCUAUAAAAACUGGUGUUCAUUUUACAUAAAAUGUCAAGUUGGUCUUUAAAUAGCAGUCUCUGAAGCACAAGCCAUUUUAUUAUCCAUUAAGUCACUUAGCAUCCACUAUACAGGUUUUCAAAGUUCUUUUCCCCAGAGGGGUUGCUGAUACACAGUAUGCUGGCGAAGGGUGGCAAGAUGAGAGGGGCGAGGCUGCUGAAAAGAAGAAUCCUGCAAGCAACGUCUCACUGCAUUUGCUUUAUAGUUCAGAGAAAAUGCAGACAUCGGAUUUGAGACAAGGAGUCAAGAAGGAAACCGCCAGAUGCUGUUGUAAACUCAGAGCCGUGUUCGGCGCAGUUUAGUGAGUUUAGUUUAUAGGUUUGGGACCAUAGUCGCUCCUACAUCUGACACCUGCGGUCCCAAGUGCAUUACUCUGCUUGCCCGCUGCCCAGGGCCCUGGGUCAGGCACAGACACAGUCAGAAAGAAGCUGUGAUCUCAGCUUGGUGGGGCUCUGUCUGGCUGGGGAGACCUAAGCACUCUCUGCACUGCCCAUACUCCUGGCCGGUGGAGGCCUUGCUCUUUAUCAUUUUAAAAUGCCACCAUAGGGCAGCCCCGGUGGCGCAGCGGUUUAGUGCCGCCUGCAGCCCAGGGCGUGAUCUGGAGACCCUGGAUCGAGUCCCAUGUCAGGCUCUCUGCAUGGAGCCUGUUUCUCCCUCUUCCCAUGUCUCUGCCUCUCAUUCUCUCUCUGUGUUUCUAUGAAUAAAUAAAAUCUUUAAAAAAAAAUAAAAUGCCA